CGGCAAGUGUGGCUUCCUUCGUGAUCCAAUGGUGGUCUUCUUCGACAUCGCCAAAAUCAUCUCAUCGAGUUCUCUGUAAACGAUGCAUUCAGGGGUAUUCAAGGAUAAACCCAAGGAUAGAGAAUUUGCCUUGCCAGUGAUCCAUGUUUAUGGAUUCACCAGAGCUCGUGAUCCAGAAUCUGAUUUCCACGAGGCCUGUUGCUAAAAUCUACCAAGGGAUUUCGCCUUUUCUUUACCUUUGAUGAUUGGACGCUGGACUCGGCGUGGGCAUGCCUGUUGUCUGAUUAAUAUUUUCCUUCAAUUACUGAUUUUUACACAUUUCCUGAACACUGUAAAUGCAGCGGAUAAGGAUUGCAUUGCAAGAGGCGGAAGUUGAUGUAGAAAUGCGUCUGGAUCUGGAAAAUGGAUGUUGUGUGCAUCAUUUAGACUUUCCUAUGAGUGCAGCAUAUGCAAGUGGAUCAAAUUUAAAUUUGUGUAUCCAUUUUUAUUUUCAAAUAUAUGACAUAUAGUUCUUUCAAAUUCAUAUCUAUAAUGCAAUAGGUCACCUUUCAAGAAUUCAAUUCUUUCAUUUAACUUGACCUUUCAAGCCAAUGAAAUAGCCUGGUGAAAGGGCAAGGAUAGCUUAGAUUUCUGCUAUUCUUGCCCUGUUUGGUUUUCAGGCUCAAUAUAUGUAAUAGAGCCCUAUAAAUAAUGGGCCAGGGUU